AACGGCAGCGCGGGAGCUUGCUCCUGGCGGCGAGUGGCGAACGGGUGAGUAAUACAUCGGAACGUGUCCGUUUGUGGGGGACAACCAGCCGAAAGGUUGGCUAAUACCGCAUAAGACCUGAGGGUGAAAGCCGGGGACCGCAAGGCCUGGCGCAGACGGAGCGGCCGAUGAUUGAUUAGCUUGUUGGCGGGGUAAAGGCCCACCAAGGCGACGAUCAAUAGCUGGUCUGAGAGGACGACCAGCCACACUGGAACUGAGACACGGUCCAGACUCCUACGGGAGGCAGCAGUGGGGAAUUUUGGACAAUGGGGGCAACCCUGAUCCAGCCAUGCCGCGUGCGGGAAGAAGGCCUUCGGGUUGUAAACCGCUUUUGUCAGGGACGAAAAGGGACGGGUUAAGAGCUAGUUCCGCUGACGGUACCUGGAGAAUAAGCACCGGCUAACUACGUGCCAGCAGCCGCGGUAAUACGUAGGGUGCAAGCGUUAAUCGGAAUUACUGGGCGUAAAGCGUGCGCAGGCGGUUGGGUAAGACAGAUGUGAAAUCCCCGGGCUUAACCUGGGAACUGCAUUUGUGACUGUCCGACUGGAGUACGUCAGAGGGGGGUGGAAUUCCGCGUGUAGCAGUGAAAUGCGUAGAUAUGCGGAAGAACACCGAUGGCGAAGGC
rnacentral:rRNA from 1 species